UACAGAGGGGGGCAAGCGUUGUUCGGAAUUACUGGGCGUAAAGGGCGCGUAGGCGCCUUCUAAGUCGAACGUGAAAUCCCUGGGCUCAACCCAGGAACUGCGUCCGAUACUGGAAGGCUUGAAUCCGGGAGAGGGAUGCGGAAUUCCAGGUGUAGCGGUGAAAUGCGUAGAUAUCUGGAGGAACACCGGUGGCGAAGGCGGCAUCCUGGACCGGUAUUGACGCUGAGGCGCGAAAGCCAGGGGAGCAAACGGG
rnacentral:rRNA from 1 species